GAACCAUACAAAUACAUUUUCAGAUUAAAACAAACAAAAAAUGUGGGUUUAUCAUCAGAUCCGCUAAAUGGAAGAUUUCUCAAAUGUGUGCUUGGAGCAAAAAUAACACUUAUCCCUAUUUGAAAGUUCAAGAUUUUUGAGCUUUAGAAGAAAACAGCUUUCCCUUCACUCUGUUCCACUCACGCUUCUGAGGAUGGCCAUGGGGGCUGUGACUGUGAGGAAGGAGGAAAGCUGUGCACUAAGGGUGGUCGUGCCUCCUGCGGACCUGAGUGACCUCAUGGAACAGAGCCAACGACACCACCAAGGCCACCCACCUGCCUCUCCACUGCCAUGGCACAGACACAGAAACCUUGUCACAUUUGGUCAAGUGUAACUAGAAGCUUCUUUGUAGCAGCCACUUUUGAUUCUGCUUGUAUCUUCUCUCAGGUUCAGGGGAUGGUUCACCUUUCACCAUUUUGUUUUGAGAGUGUGUAGCCCUUUGUUACAUCAGCAUUAUAUAAGUUGUUUGUUUGUUUGUUUGUUUGUUUAAGAUAUCUAACCAUCUUGAAUGGGUUGGGACUAAUCUUGUGUCUCACAGCAAAGCAGAAAUUCAAGGUUGCUAGAGGCUAUCAAUUACAUGAGGGCUAAAGAUGACGACAUCAUUGCUUAGCUCGGGGUCAUACUACUUACAUUUUUUUUUUUUUUUUUUUUUGACAGAGACUUGCCCUGUUAACCAGGCUGGAGUGCACUGGCACAAUCUCAGCUCACUGCAACCUCCACCUCCCAGGUUCAAGUGAUUCUCCUGCCUCAGCCUCCCGAGUAGCUGGAAUCACAGGCACAUGCCACCACACCUGGCUAAUUUUUGUAUUUUUAGUAGAGACAGGGUUUCACCAUGUUGGCCAGGCUGGUCUUGAACUCCUGAUCUCAGGGUAUUAGCCCAUCUUGACCUCCCAAAGUGUUGGGAUUACAGGCAUGAGCCACCACGCCCCGAUACACUUUGUAUUCCUUAACUGAAUUCUGUAUAAUGACUCUUGAGAUCAACGAUUCAUUUAUCAGUAUUUUAAAAAUAUAUGGUGUCACUUUUUUUUUUCAUUUGCAGGCUCCAGUGUGAUUGAUAUCUAUAAAAAUAUUGCCAUACAAUUUUUAAACGUAACAGAAGUGGAACUUUGGAAUUUUAAUUGCACUUACCAUGAAAUUUGUUAUAUUGGAAUAAACAAUCAUCCUAGUGUACUUUCUACCCUUAGCCUGAAGCAGAACUUCUUCUGUUGAUUCUGUCAUUAUUUUGUGUCUAUCACACAGUGUAAUUAUAUGUACCUCAUGUGACUCAUUAUUGGGUUCAAUAUCAUUUAGAACACUAUAUUUAAUAAAAUCUAUGAAAAGCAUAGAUGCUCCAGGCAUUUACAACUAAAACAUUGAAUUCAGAUUCAUUUUCAGGUAAUGAUAUAAUCAUGUGAAAAGAAUGCAUUUCUGUAUUUUUUGAAACCUUUUCUUUUGAAAACAUAGUAAUACAUUUCUACUCUAAAAUAGAACUUAGCCUAAAUACUUUCAAAACCUUUAGAAUUUGGAAAAGAAAUAAAAAUCUCACAUAAUUCUGAAUGUUCCCUUUUU
rnacentral:lncRNA from 1 species